rnacentral:rRNA from 1 species
AUUCCUACGGGAGGCAGCAGUGGGGAAUAUUGCGCAAUGGGCGGAAGCCUGACGCAGCGACGCCGCGUGGGGGAUGAAGGCCUUCGGGUUGUAAACCUCUUUCAGCAGGGGCGAAGCGAGAGUGACGGUACCUGCAGAAGAAGCGCCGGCUAACUACGUGCCAGCAGCCGCGGUAAUAAU